rnacentral:tRNA from 1 species
AGGUGUUUAACUCAGUUGGUAGAGUAUUGUGUUUACGCCACAAAGGUCAAAAGUUCGAUUCUUUUAGCACCUA